rnacentral:rRNA from 1 species
UACGAAGGGGGGCUAGCGUUGCUCGGAAUUACUGGGCGUAAAGCGCACGUAGGCGGCUUUCUAAGUCGGGGGUGAAAUCCUGGAGCUCAACUCCAGAACUGCCCUUGAUACUGGCGGUCUCGAGUCCGGGAGAGGUGAGUGGAACUGCGAGUGUAGAGGUGAAAUUCGUAGAUAUUCGCAAGAACACCAGUGGCGAAGGCGGCUCACUGGCCCGGUACUGACGCUGAGGUGCGAAAGCGUGGGGGAGCAAACAGG